rnacentral:lncRNA from 1 species
GGGUUGUCUUUCAUCUUAUCCUUGUCAUCCAUAAUAAUAUAGAAAAUAUUAUCAAAGAUAUUCUUCUCAAUGUGCAUGACGUCAAGGUUAUGAUGGAUCAAAUUGGUGGACUAGUAUGAUAAUUUUCAAAAGAUGCUGUGCAUCGUCCAGUUAUGAGUUGUAUCAAAUCUUUGAGAUUUCUAUUUAUCAAAUCAUAUACCCAACUGGAUUUCAUCCACAUG